AUUGAACGCUGGCGGCAGGCCUAACACAUGCAAGUCGAACGAGUGGCGGACGGGUGAGUAAUGUCUGGGAAACUGCCCGAUAGAGGGGGAUAACUACUGGAAACGGUGGCUAAUACCGCAUACCAUCGGAUGUGCCCAUAUGGGAUUAGCUAGUAGGUGGGGUAAUGGCUCACCUAGGCGACGAUCCCUAGCUGGUCUGAGAGGAUGACCAGCAACACUGGAACGGAGACACGGUCCAGACUCCUACGGGAGGCAGCAGUGGGGAAUAUUGCAAAAUGGGCGCAAGCCUGAGGCAGCCAUGCCGCGUGUAUGAAGAAGGCCUUAGGGUUGUAAAGUACUUUCAGCGGGGAGGCGUUACGCGCAGAAGAAGCACCGGCUAACUCCGUGCCAGCAGCCGCGGUAAUUC
rnacentral:rRNA from 1 species